UGGGGAAUAUUGGACAAUGGGCGCAAGCCUGAUCCAGCCAUGCCGCGUGAGUGAUGAAGGCCCUAGGGUUGUAAAGCUCUUUCACCGGUGAAGAUAAUGACGGUAACCGGAGAAGAAGCCCCGGCUAACUUCGUGCCAGCAGCCGCGGUAAUACGAAGGGGGCUAGCGUUGUUCGGAAUUACUGGGCGUAAAGCGCACGUAGGCGGACAUUUAAGUCAGGGGUGAAAUCCCAGGGCUAAACUCUGGAACUGCCUUUGAUACUGGGUGUCUUGAGUAUGGAAGAGGUAAGAGGAAUUCCGAGUGUAGAGGUGAAAUUCGUAGAUAUUCGGAGGAACACCAGUGGCGAAGGCGGCUUACUGGUCCAUUACUGACGCUGAGGUGCGAAAGCGUGGGGAGCAAACAGG
rnacentral:rRNA from 1 species